rnacentral:misc_RNA from 1 species
GAUGAAGAACGUAGCAAAAUGCGAUACUUGGUGUGAAUUGCAGAAUCCCGUGAACCAUCGAGUUUUUGAACGCAAGUUGCGCCCGAAGCCUUUUGGCCGAGGGCACGUCUGCCUGGGCGUCACGCAUCGCGUCGCCCCCCACAACUCUCCGUAAAGGGAACUUGUGUUUUGGGGGCGGAUAUUGGUCUCCCGUGCUCAUGGCGUGGUUGGCCGAAAUAGGAGUCCCUCCGGUGGACGCACGAACUAGUGGUGGACGUAAAAACCCUCGUCUUUUGUUUCGUGCCGUUAGUCGCGAGGGAAACUCUUUAAAAACCCAAAUGUGUCGUCUCUUGACGGCGCUUCGACCGCGACCCCAGGUCAGGCGGGACUACCCGCUGAGUUUAAGCAUAUCAAUAAGCGGAGGA